GGGGGGUAGCAACGGAUAUUGGGCUGUGUCCCCCGGCACCCUGUGCUCCCGGGCCUGUGCUGUUGGAAUCGCGCUCCUGGUGGUGCAGCUCCCU
rnacentral:pre_miRNA from 1 species